rnacentral:rRNA from 1 species
GACGAACGCUGGCGGCGUGCCUAAUACAUGCAAGUCGAACGCUGAAGGAGGAGCUUGUUUCUCCGGAUGAGUUGCGAACGGGUGAGUAACGCGUAGGUAACCUGCCUGGUAGCGGGGGAUAACUAUUGGAAACGAUAGCUAAUACCGCAUAAGAGUAGAUGUCGCAUGACAUUUGCUUAAAAGGUGCAACUGCACCACUACUAGAUGGACCUGCGUUGUAUUAGCUAGUUGGUGAGGUAACGGCUCAUCAAGGCAACGAUACAUAGCCGACCUGAGAGGGUGAUCGGCCACACUGGGACUGGGACACGGGCCAGACUCCUGCGGGAGGCAGCAGUAGGGGAUCUUCGGCAAUGGACGGAAGUCUGACCGAGCAACGCCGCGUGAGUGAAGAAGGUUUUCGGAUCGUAAAGCUCUGUUGUAAGAGAAGAACGAGUGUGAGAGUGGAAAGUUCACACUGUGACGGUAUCUUACCAGAAAGGUACGGCUAACUACGUG